CAACUUUCAGGAAAGUUUUUUUUAACCUUGAAUAGUAAUAGUUGGGCCCUUACAAAUAGUGGGGCAUCAUGUCCAAAAUAAAGAUAAGCUUUAGAAGAAGGCACACAAGGAAAUGUACAAGAGAACCUGUAACUGUCAGAGAGAGAAAGGCUGCUGAGACCUCUGUUUGAGCAUUGUACCAUUCUGAUACUUGCUCUUGAACAUUUUGUUUCUACUAAGACUAGCUGAUCUCUUGAAAUACUUCCUGUGUGUUCACACUAUUUUCUCUCUUUAGUGCCCUCUUCCAUUGAUCAUAUCUCUGUCUCUAAUGUUCUACCCAUGCUUUAAGGUCCUUCCCAGGUGAACUGCACCCAUCAGUCAUCUCAAAACACUCCGGGUGGAUGUGACCUUUAGUGUGUGACACCAAAGCCCUGAUCAUUAUUGUGAGUUUGCCAUUCAUUGCCUAUGUCCUUAUGGUAUGGAUAUUGGCCUGCAGGUGCAUUUUCUACAACUCUUUUUGAUGAUAAGUUUUCUACGGUCAGUGAUCGCAGUGAGAGACAGUUGGUGACACACUGCACAAAACUUGGCACACUAUGGUUACAUUCUAUUUAUAUCCCUACCUGAGAGUUAAACAAAGAAGACUAUGCUGGCAGAUUAGAGGCAACCACAUAAAAUUGCAGAAAAUCUUACAUAAUUAAAACAUUCAAAACUUCUGACAGUUUAAGUCAAGUGAGCAUGCUCCUCUCCGGAUAUCUUUAUUUCCCAGAGAUGACAAGCUAGUGAUUCAGGUAACCAUCUCCUAGCUAGUGAUUCAGGUAACCAUCUCCAAGUUAGUGAUUCAGGUAACCAUCUCCAAGUUAGUGAUCCACUUUAAAAGGCAGGAGGUCUUCUGGAAGUCAAAAGAAAGAAACUAACCUAUUGCAUUCAUAAAAUGCAAUAGCCUGCCCUUUAAAAUAUGUCAUGGUUCUGGAAAAGUCUGAUGUGGAAGAACAAGCCACCAUAGGCUACAGAGCAGAUCUCGUCCCCGUGCUCUAUUUCCUAGUUUGACUUCUCUAUCACGAAGAUGGGGGUCGUUUUAAAGAGUGUCCUUCAUACUUUGUCAAAAACAGCAACCCUGAAUCCAGAGAUUUUCAUUUUGGAUAAUUUCCAAUUUAUGUAAUUAAAAAAAAAAAGGUUGUUUUUCUCCCCUAGUUCUGGACGCUUUUAUUUUUAAAGAAAAGAUUUUUAAAGUACUUAAAAUUAGUUUUCUCUAACACAGUUUCUUUGGGUAUCAAACCACUUAGAAGGGCGAGCCUUGAGCCCAGCAGCAGACAGCCCACACAACAUGAACUCAGUGGUGGGGGUUUUUACUUUUGGAAGUUCUUUGUUUCUUAAUCCCUUGUCAGGGUUUUGUUUUGCUUGCUUCUUGUUUGUUUUGUCUUGUUUUCUGUCUUCGUUUUUAAACAUAUCGGUCCUUUACAUGUAUAUAUUACGGUUUCCAGUUUUGUGUUUUUAUGGAAUUUCUCUCUGUGUGAAGAUGUGUAUGUGUCUCUGCAUCUAUCUGUGUUUCUGGUACUUUCAUUCUUGG
ensembl:lncRNA